CCUACGGGCGGCAGCAGUGGGGAAUAUUGCACAAUGGGGGAAACCCUGAUGCAGCGACGCCGCGUGAGUGAAGAAGUAAUUCGGUAUGUAAAGCUCUAUCAGCAGAGAAGAAAAUGACGGUACCUGAGUAAGAAGCACCGGCUAACUCCGUGCCAGCAGCCGCGGUAAUACGUAGGGGGCAAGCGUUAUCCGGAAUCACUGGGCGUAAAGGGAGCGUAGGCGGGAGUGCAAGUCUGGAGUGAAAGGCGGGGGCUCAACCCCCGGACUGCUCUGGAAACUGUACGGCUGGAGUGCAGGAGAGGUAAGUGGAAUUCCUGGUGUAGCGGUGAAAUGUGUAGAGAUUAGGAGGAAUACCAGUGGCGAAGGCGGCUUACUGGACUAUUACUGACGUUGAGGCUCGAAAGCGUGGGGAGCAAACAGGAUUAGAUACCCUAGUAGUC
rnacentral:rRNA from 1 species